GAUGAAGAACGUAGCGAAAUUCGAUAAGUAAUGUGAAUUGCAGAAUUCAGUGAAUCAUCGAAUCUUUGAACGCACCUUGCGCUCCUUGGCAUUCCGAGGAGCAUGCCUGUUUGAGUGUCAUUAAAUUCUCAAGACCUGUCUGCUUUUUUGAUAGGUAUUGGAUUUUGGGGGUUGCAGGCUGUUUCAAAUAAAUAGCCUUGCUCUCCUUGAAUGUAUUAGUGGAGAAAAGCCAUUGAACUCCAUUGGUGUGAUAAAACCUAUCAAUGCCAGGAGCAAUAUCACUACUUCUCCCUGCUGUCUAACUGUGACUGUCUGUAUUAAUUAGUAUGGAUGGGGACAACUUGACCAACUUGACCUCAAAUCAGGUAGGACUACCCGCUGAACUUAAGCAUAUCAAUAAGCGGAGGA
rnacentral:misc_RNA from 1 species